AGCGAGAGAACUGUUGUUAAGGAACUCGGCAAAAUGACCCCGUAACUUAGGGAUAAGGGGUGCCACCAUCAGGUGGCCGCAGAGAAUAGGCCCAAGCGACUGUUUACCAAAAACAUAGGUUCCUGCUAAGUCGCAAGACGAUGUAUAGGAGCUGACGCCUGCCCGGUGCUGGAAGGUUAAGGGGAUCUGUUAGAGCAAUCGAAGCAGUGAACUUAAGCCCCAGUAAACGGCGGCCGUAACUAUAACGGU
rnacentral:rRNA from 1 species